AAAAAUGAUACUAAAGCCUUGCGGGGUUCCGGUUGCACUUAGGGUAACAAAUGUUUACCAAGACGUCGCGACGGUUGUCAGGGCUCGAGAGGAGUACCGGGUCAUGACAGUUGGAAUAAUGCCAAAAAAGCAUUUACAUCAUGAAUCCCAGUUGCUCUCCUAUGCAUUGCUCACUCUGUUGGCCACUGGUAGUUGUUCGCAACCAUCUUCCAACAAAUCAUAUGCCUCAUCAAUCAAUUUAGCCAUUAAAGCUCUUCCCUUAACGGCAUCAAUAGUGGUUCGAACCUACCCACUUAGACCAUAGUAGAAAGUUUGCACUUGAAGCCACUUUGGAAGACUAUGAUGAAGACAACGUCUAUGUAAUUUCUUAUAUCUUUCCCAAGCUUCGUACAACGAUUCAGAAUCUUCUUGCAUGAAUGAUGUAAUAUCAUUCCUCAUUUUCACUAUCUUAGCCGAAAGAAAGAACUUGGCAAGGAACUUUUGAGCAAAUCAUCCCAUGUUGUUAUUGAGCUUGUGGGGAGCGCAUUUAGCCAUGUUUUAGCUUUAUCCUUCAAUGAAAAAGGAAAAAGCCUCAAAGGAAUUACAUCAUCUAUGACACCAUUAUGUUUGAACGUAUCACAAAUUUCCAAAAAAGUUUGAUAUAUGGCUAUUUGGAUCAUCAUUUAGAAGGCCCCUAAAUUGUACUAAGGCUUGAAUCAUGGUGAUGAUAACCGGCUUGAUCUCAAAAUUAAUAGCUUGAAUAGCUAGCCUUCGAAUGCUUGAUGGAAUCCCUUACACCAAUGGGAUAGCAUAAUCCCUUAAGCAUUGAUUUUCAACUGUUACGUGCUCUUAGAUAUGUUGUUUACCCUGCUGGUCAGCCAUUGUAUUUAUUGGAGCAAAACCUUGUUGAUUUUCUCGUCGAAGUCUAUGAAAUGUUAUCUCAAUUU